AAUGCGCCAGGGACCCUAGCGGAAAUCCUUUCUCGUCAGAGAAAGAUUGGAGCGGAGGGCCCGGUCCUUU
rnacentral:sRNA from 1 species